rnacentral:lncRNA from 1 species
CUUUGACCUUUUGCUAUUUAGAGAGUAUGGUUUGUUUCUUCUGCUGAGUGUGAUCCACGAUUCUACCUCCCAGAGGGCUUGAUUGAGAGAGAUCAUUUCCUUCACUGAAUAUUAUUUUGUGUGUAUCCUAGUGCCUCUUGGUUGAUUCUUUCAAAGCACUAAUUUGCUUCUGGAUAAAUUUCACCUACAUGUAUUAAAAGUAUAUAUUUUUAUAUGCACAUGCUUUUUUACAUGAGUGACAACAUCUGUGUGUAAUUUCCCUUUACUUUUUGUCCCAUUCUGAAAGUUAUUCUGUCCCAUACAAUAUCAUGGUCCAA